AUAGUUAUAUUUUUGACACGCAAAAAUAUAUUUUCCAAAAAUAUAAUUCCUUUGGAAAAUAAAACUAGGGUUUGGCUGCCUCAUGAAACACAUUAAACACGUGCGCCUUCCUCUGUAAGAAACCUUGAAACAAUUCUUCAAACAGAUCUUCAAAAGAUUGAGUAGAAAAUAAUAACGUCUAGCUGGCGCGCGCAGAACAGAGUCAUGUGUUGUUCCAAAGUGUCCCAACAUUUGUCACAACACUUGGGGUCAGCACAUUUGUCUCAACACUUGGCUAAAAUAUGUUUUUGCAAAAUGUAGCCAAUAUACAAAAACCCAACAAUCUCCCCCUUUGGCAAAUUUUGGCUAAAACAAUAUUAGACCAGUAU
rnacentral:lncRNA from 1 species